CAGUCCAAUAUUAAAAGGGCAU
rnacentral:miRNA from 1 species